AUUGAACGCUGGCGGCAGGCCUAACACAUGCAAGUCGAACGGUAACAGGAAACAGCUUGCUGUUUCGCUGACGAGUGGCGGACGGGUGAGUAAUGUCUGGGAGACUGCCUGAUGGAGGGGGAUAACUACUGGAAACGGUAGCUAAUACCGCAUAACGUCGCAAGACCAAAGAGGGGGACCUUCGGGCCUCCUGCCAUCGGAUGUGCCCGGAUGGGAUUAGCUGGUAGGUGGGGUAACGGCUCACCUAGGCGACGAUCCCUAGCUGGUCUGAGAGGAUGACCAGCCACACUGGAACUGAGACACGGUCCAGACUCCUACGGGAGGCAGCAGUGGGGAAUAUUGCACAAUGGGCGCAAGCCUGAUGCAGCCAUGCCGCGUGUAUGAAGAAGGCCUUCGGGUUGUAAAGUACUUUCAGCGGGGAGGAAGGGAGUAAAGUUAAUACCUUUGCUCAUUGACGUUACCCGCAGAAGAAGCACCGGCUAACUCCGUGCCAGCCGCCGCCGUAA
rnacentral:rRNA from 1 species